AUGUACAUGCCUACAGUGUUAAUUCAACGGAUCCCAUUAGAACUCUACAGUUAAGUGUACUUGAGCUAGAGUAGUAAAGAGAUGGGUGAUCUAUCAGGAAGUCCUAGAGUUUUACAUU
rnacentral:rRNA from 1 species